rfam:HIV-1 isolate 05CNSHD0073 from China pol protein (pol) gene, partial cds.
GUAGGUACGGUAUUAGUGGGACCUACCCCUGUCGACAUAAUUGGAAGAAAUCUGUUGACUCGCCUUGGUUGCACUUUAAAUUUUCCAAUCGAUCCCGUUGAAACUGUACCAGU